AUUGAACGCUGGCGGCAGGCCUAACACAUGCAAGUCGAGCGGAUGAAGGGAGCUUGCUCCUGGAUUCAGCGGCGGACGGGUGAGUAAUGCCUAGGAAUCUGCCUGGUAGUGGGGGAUAACGUCCGGAAACGGGCGCUAAUACCGCAUACGUCCUGAGGGAGAAAGUGGGGGAUCUUCGGACCUCACGCUAUCAGAUGAGCCUAGGUCGGAUUAGCUAGUUGGUGGGGUAAAGGCCUACCAAGGCGACGAUCCGUAACUGGUCUGAGAGGAUGAUCAGUCACAAUGGAAAUGAGACACGGUCCAGACUCCUAAGGGAGGCAGCAGUGGGGAAUAUUGGACAAUGGGCGAAAGCCUGAUCCAGCCAUGCCGCGUGUGUGAAGAAGGUCUUCGGAUUGUAAAGCACUUUAAGUUGGGAGGAAGGGCAGUAAGUUAAUACCUUGCUGUUUUGACGUUACCAACAGAAUAAGCACCGGCUAACUUCGUG
rnacentral:rRNA from 1 species